ensembl:sense_intronic Gm37062 predicted gene, 37062
GUCUGUGGAGUUUCUUAUUUUCAUUGUAAUUUUCUAUUUUCUAGAAUGGUUUUCCUAAUGAAGGUAUUCAAAACAAUUUCUUGUCUCCCUUUUUCUAUACAAAUCUCCUAAUUUUAUCAGAGAAAUAAAACAGGCAUUCUAAACCUCUCUGUUCACGUUCUUUUGUAAGAACAUUUACAGUUCUUUAAUGAGAAGGGUUUGUGGUAAUGUAGUAUGUUGAGUGGCCAGUACUGAUUUGAUGCUUUUUUUAUAUUGCCUAGUCCAACCCCAAAGAACUGUGUCUUAGCCAAGCCUGUGGCAGUAAGAGUAUGUGCCAUACUUUAAAACAUGUCAUGAGUUCUACAUACAUAAGUACCACAUACUUAGAAGCAGAGCUUUAAUGCCUUCUCUGCAUGGAUUUUACUGAGGAGGGACACAUGAAUCACUGUUUUCUAUUAGAGCCACCUCAGACUUUGUUUGUUGUAUGACAGGUUAUCAUUGUGUAGCUCAAUUGGAUUGAAACUUUUUCUGUAUCCCAGCCUGCCCUCAAACUCAAAAUCCAGUUUCUGCUACCAUCUAAGUGCUGCAAUCCCAGCAUGCAUCAUGCCUGGCAGACUUCUUUUGUGAUUUGUCCUCACUGGUUUAUAUUCUCUGAAACCAAUCUUGGCUUCAUGAGCAUUUCCCCAAGGAAAGUAUGUGUUUCCCUCAGUUAUGAGGAUGCCUCC